GACAGAGGGUGCAAACGUUGUUCGGAAUUACUGGGCGUAAAGCGCGUGUAGGCGGCUAUGCAAGUCGGAUGUGAAAGCCCUCGGCUCAACCGGGGAAGUGCACCCGAAACUGCAAAGCUAGAGUCUCGGAGAGGAUCGUGGAAUUCUCGGUGUAGAGGUGAAAUUCGUAGAUAUCGAGAGGAACACCGGUGGCGAAGGCGGCGACCUGGACAAGUACUGACACUCAACUACGAAAGCGUGGGUAGCAAACAGG
rnacentral:rRNA from 1 species